rnacentral:lncRNA from 1 species
GGCUGGGUUUAUCCAAGGCUUCAAGGACUGCAAGGUGCGUGUGAAGAGGAUGGUCUUGAAGUUGGAUCUGAGGCACCUCCGCCCUGACAACAGUGACGAGGAAGUGGGGGUGUUCUCUUGAGAUGAAGACUAGAUCUUUAUCCUUUUGUAUUCACUUUUGGGUGCCCUUGCCUCGACGACUCCCUGUAAUAAGAUUUUAAUUAAUGAAAAAUAUAUUUCAUUACGUG